UACGGGGCAUAAUAUAAACUUAAACUCGUUACGGGCAUUACGGAAGUUUUUCGCUUGGAUGCAAAGGAAGCGGUCAAGGACGACACUGUGCUUACAGUUGCCUUGAUCAUUCAUACUUCAGUUUAUGCUUAGUAUUUAGCUAAAAACCAAACCGUCGUAAGUACGGUUUGACUUUAAAAUAACUCAGUGAUGGUUCAGUCUUAUGACGAACCAAAAGUAGUUUUGAGUUGGUAUUUAUGUGGGUAUUAAACCUCUAAAAUGGUUCC
rnacentral:lncRNA from 1 species